AGCAGCCGCGGUAAUUCCAGCUCCAAUAGCGUAUAUUAAAGUUGUUGCAGCUAAAAAGCUCGUAGUUGAAUUUCGGGAUCAAUGUUUCGGUCAUGCCCUUGGUAUGUACUGAUAUUAUUGGUUUCUCACCUUCUAAAGAACCGUAAUGCCAUUAAUUUGGUGUCACGGGGAAUUAGGACUGUUACCUUGAAAAAAUUAGAGUGUUUAAAGCAGGCUCACGCUUGAAUACAUUAGCAUGGAAUAAUGAAAUAGGACAUCCGAUUCUAUUUUGUUGGUUUCUAGGAUCGAUGUAAUGAUUAAUAGGGAUAGUUGGGGGCAUUAGUAUUCAAUUGUCAGAGGUGAAAUUCUUGGAUUUAUUGAAGACUAACUACUGCGAAAGCAUUUGCCAAGGAUGUUUUCAUUAAUCAAGAACGAAAGUUAGGGGAUCGAAGACGAUCAGAUACCGUCGUAGUCUUAACCAUAAACUAUGCCGACUAGGGAUCGGAUGAUGUUAAUUUUUUAAUGACUCA
rnacentral:rRNA from 1 species